GACGUAGGGCGCGAGCGUUGUCCGGAUUUAUUGGGCGUAAAGAGCUCGUAGGCGGCUCGUUGCGUCAACCGUGAAACCCGGGGCUUAACUUCGGGCUGCGGUUGAUACGGGCGGGCUGGAGUUCGGUAGGGGAGACUGGAAUUCCUGGUGAGCGGUGAAAUGCGCAGAUAUCAGGAGGAACACCGGUGGCGAAGGCGGGUCUCUGGGACAACACUGACGUGGAGGCCACGAAAGCGUGGGGAGCAAACAGG
rnacentral:rRNA from 1 species